ACCGGCCACACUGGGACUGAGACACGGCCAGACACCUACGGGAGGCAGCAGUGGGGAAUAUUGGGCAAUGGGCGAAAGCCUGACCCAGCGACGCCGCGUGAGGGAUGAAGGCCUUCGGGUUGUAAACCUCUUUCAGCAGGGAAGAAGCGAAAGUGACGGUACCUGCAGAAGAAGCACCGGCUAACUACGUGCCAGCAGCCGCGGUAAUACAUAGGGUGCAAGCGUUGUCCGGAAUUAUUGGGCGUAAAGAGCUCGUAGGUGGUUUGUCACGUCGGAUGUGAAAAUCCGGGGCUCAACCCCGGACCUGCAUUCGAUACGGGCAAGCUAGAGUGUGGUAGGGGAGACUGGGAAUUCCU
rnacentral:rRNA from 1 species